UGGCUGGAGUUCCCAAUACAGCUUUCCUGUGACCAAUCCCACACCUCAGUGGCUGGACACAUCAGGUCAUUUCCAUAUUGAAAGCUUCAUCUGCAGCAGAGCAGAUGACCUCAUCAGUCCUGUGUAUUGUGAAGGUAAAAGGCACGGGUGUCCUGUGUGGAAGAUAUGAACUGUUGAGCUCUUCAGAAAAAGCGUUUCAGUGAGCAAUGUUCCUGGAGAUGCUUAACAGCCUGCGCCACCCAGCCACUGUGAGCAGCCCAGCCACUGUGAACAGCCCAGCCACUGUGAACAGCCCAGCCACUGUGAGCAGCCCAGCCACUGUGUGCAGCCCAGCCACUGUGAGCAGCCCAGCCACUGUGUGCAGCCCAGCCACUGUGAGCAGCCCAGCCCAGCCACUGUGUGCAGCCCAGCCACUGUGAACAGCCCAGCCCAGCCACUGUGUGCAGCCCAGCCACUGUGUGCAGCCCAGCCACUGUGAACAGCCCAGCCACUGUGUGCAGCCCAGCCACUGUGAACAGCCCAGCCACUGUGUGCAGCCCAGCCACUGUGAACAGCCCAGCCACUGUGUGCAGCCCAGCCACUGUGAACAGCCCAGCCACUGUGAGCAGCCCAGCCACUGUGAACAGCCCAGCCACUGUGAACAGCCCAGCCACUGUGAGCAGCCCAGCCACUGUGUGCAGCCCAGCCACUGUGAGCAGCCCAGCCACUGUGAGCAGCCCAGCCACUGUGUGCAGCCCAGCCCAGCCACUGCAUCCAGCACUGCUUGUGACAGACGGUUAAUGGCAGAGCUCUUUAAGCUUAUAAUUUCUUGACAGUGUUGAAAAAUGAACAGCACUGUUUGCAUUUCCACGAGCUAUUCUUAAAGCUUCCUUUGUUCGGGAUGUAUGAAAUGAGAAGAUAAAUCAGAUGCAUCACGAAGUCAUUUGGGGAGGAGAGGUAAUAAGACAUUCAUUCCAUAAAGCGGUUUUUCAGCAUAUUUAUGUUUUCAUUUUUAAGUGUAUUUCAUCAAAAGCUUUGGCUUCAUCUAUAGCUAGUAUUAAUAAUUUGGAUUCAAAGUCUGUCCAACUUAUCAGGCUUUAGGAAUUAAAGCUGCUAGUAUUCAAACCUUGAUCAUUUAUAAGGGACUGGAGAGAAGGCUCCGUGGUUAGGAGAACUGGCCACUCUUCCAGAGGACACAGAUUCAAUUCCCAGCACCCACACAGCAGCUCAUAACCAUCUUUACCUCCAGGGGAUCCAAUGCCUUCCUUUGGCCUCCACAUGUGCUUUGCACACGAGUGAUACCCAGAAAUACAUGUAAACACCCAUACACACAAAAUAAAAUGUAAAACAUCUAAGCAAAAUAACCUAGACACAGAAAGACAAAUAUUAAUGUUCUUCCUCGUAAGUGAAACCUUAAAAAUGUUGAUUGUACUGAAGUAGAGAGUAGGAUAGUGGUCACUAGAGAGAAAAAGAAACAUGGAGCCUGGCUUAUAAGUGGAAAAGUACAGUUAAGUGAGAAAAUACAUUCUGGUUCACAGUACAGUGACUACAGUUUAUUAUUACUGUUGUUGUUGUUGUUGUAUCUUCAAAGAACUAAAAGAGAGGAGUUAGAAUGCUGCCAGCACAGAGAUAUAAAUAAAAUAUGGAAAUGUAAAUGACACUGACUUGACUAUUAUACCCAUUGUAAGCACAUAUCAAAUUAUCACGCACUAUCUCGUUACUGUGUAUAAGUGUUGUAUAUAAAUUAAUAGAACAAAACUGACUGUUACCACUCUGCUUAAAUGAAAAUUCUUAUGCAGAUUAUUCUAUGAAACAAUUAAAGAGUGUUUGAUUGC